rnacentral:rRNA from 1 species
UAGGGAAUCUUCGGCAAUGGGCGAAAGCCUGACCGAGCAACGCCGCGUGAGCGAUGAAGGCUUUCGGGUCGUAAAGCUCUGUUGUUAAGGAAGAACAAGUACGAGAGUAACUGCUCGUACCUUGACGGUACUUAACGAGAAAGCCACGGCUAACUACGUGCCAGCAGCCGCGGUAAUACGUAGGUGGCGAGCGUUAUCCGGAAUUAUUGGGCGUAAAGCGCGCGCAGGCGGUUUCUUAAGUCUGAUGUGAAAGCCCACGGCUCAACCGUGGAGGGUCAUUGGAAACUGGGGAACUUGAGUGCAGAAGAGGAAAGCGGAAUUCCACGUGUAGCGGUGAAAUGCGUAGAGAUGUGGAGGAACACCAGUGGCGAAGGCGGCUUUCUGGUCUGUAACUGACGCUGAGGCGCGAAAGCGUGGGGAGCAAACAGGAUUAGAUACCCUGGUAGUCCACGCCGUAAACGAUGAGUGCUAAGUGUUAGAGGGUUUCCGCCCUUUAGUGCUGAAGUUAACG